AAUGAACGUUGGCGGCGUGGAUUAGGCAUGCAAGUCGUACGGGCCGCAAGGCCAGUGGCGCAAGGGUGAGUAAUGCGACGGUAACCAACCCCAUGGGUGGGUAUAGCCGCGGGAAACUGCGGGUAAUCCCCAGCGAAGCAAAGCGAUCGGCAUCGAUCGUUUGCCAAAGCUCCGGCGCCGUGGGACGGGCCGUCGUGGUAUUAGGUAGUUGGGGGGGUAACGGCCCACCAAGCCGACGAUGCCUACCGGGCGUGCGAGCGUGGCCCGGCACACUGGGACUGAGACACUGCCCAGACUCCUACGGGAGGCUGCAGUCGAGAAUCUUCGGCAAUGGGCGCAAGCCUGACCGAGCGACGCCGCGUGGAGGACGAAGGCCUUCGGGUUGUAAACUCCUGUCGAGGGGAAAGAAGGUCCGCAAGGACUUGACUGAUCCCUGGAGGAAGCACGGGCUAAGUUCGUGCCAGCAGCCGCGGUAA
rnacentral:rRNA from 1 species